AUGGAGGAGGGCGCGGCCGCGAGCAUGACCGUGGGGGAGAAGCGGGUGGCCGUCGACGUUCCCACGGACGCUGCCGCGGCGGCGAACGGGCACGGCCCGGAGGAGAAGGCGGCGGAGGAUGUUCCAGCGCCGUCUGCAUUGUCCGGCUGGCCCAGGACGACAGGGAUGUACCUCUUCGUCAUGAACAUCAGGAGCGUCUUCAAGCUCGAUGAGCUCGGGUCGGAGGUGCUGCGCAUUGCGGUGCCGGCGUCGCUUGCCUUGGCCGCCGAUCCCCUCGCCUCCUUGGUGGACACAGCAUUCAUCGGACGUCUAGGUUCGGUGGAGAUAGCAGCUGUUGGUGUUUCUAUUGCCAUAUUUAACCAAGUCUCGAAAGUCUGCAUCUACCCACUCGUUAGCGUAACAACAUCAUUCGUCGCUGAAGAAGAUGCCAUCAUUAGCAAGUACCUAGAAGAAAAUAACAGCAAAGACCUUGAGAAAGCCGCUCAUGUGCAUUCAGAUGCCUGCAAUGUGCCCGCAUCUGGUGGUGAUACGCCAGUGUGCGCUAAUUCUUGUAUACCCACAGAGUGUGCUGAUCUCUCCAAUCAAGGGUGCAAGAGAAGGUACAUACCUUCUGUGACAUCGGCUCUAAUUGUUGGCUCAUUUCUCGGGCUAGUCCAGGCCGUGUUCCUCAUCUUUUCGGCGAAAGUUGUGUUGGGCAUCAUGGGUGUGAAACAUGACUCACCAAUGCUAGAACCCGCGGUUCGAUACCUAACGAUCAGAUCACUUGGUGCUCCCGCUGUUCUCCUGUCUUUGGCAAUGCAGGGUGUUUUCCGAGGCUUCAAAGAUACAAAGACACCGUUGUAUGCUACCGUGGUUGGAGAUGCAACAAAUAUCAUCCUAGACCCAAUUUUGAUGUUUGUUUGCCACAUGGGUGUCACUGGUGCCGCAGUUGCUCAUGUCAUUUCCCAGUAUCUGAUAACCAUGAUCUUGAUAUGUCGGCUCGUCCAGCAAGUUGAUGUUAUCCCACCGAGCCUUAAAUCCCUGAAAUUUGGGCGGUUUCUUGGGUGUGGAUUCCUGCUGCUCGCGAGGGUGGUAGCGGUGACAUUCUGCGUCACUCUGGCGUCGUCGCUGGCAGCCCGCGACGGGCCAACCAUCAUGGCGGCCUUCCAGAUCUGCUGCCAGCUCUGGCUCGCGACGUCGCUUCUCGCCGAUGGAUUGGCCGUUGCUGGACAGGCAGUGCUCGCAAGCGCGUUCGCCAAGAACGAUACCAAGAAGGUGAUUGCCGCGACCUCUCGUGUUCUGCAGCUGAGCAUUGUUCUGGGGAUGGGUCUCACAGUGGUGCUCGGUCUCUUCAUGAAGUUCGGCGCCGGCGUUUUCACAAAGGACGCCGCUGUGAUCGACGUCAUCCACAAAGGCAUCCCGUUUGUCGCCGGCACGCAGACGAUAAACGCCCUGGCGUUCGUGUUCGACGGCAUCAACUUCGGAGCACAAGACUACACCUACUCUGCAUACUCCAUGGUUGGGGUGGCGUCCAUAUCCAUACCAUGCCUGGUGUACCUUUCUGCGCACAAGGGAUUCAUCGGCAUAUGGGUCGCAUUGACCAUCUACAUGAGCCUCAGGACCGUAGCCAGCACCUGGAGGAUGGGGGCAGCGAGCGGGCCAUGGGCUUUCCUCCGGAAGUGA
rnacentral:rRNA from 1 species